rnacentral:rRNA from 1 species
UACGUAGGGUGCAAGCGUUAAUCGGAAUUACUGGGCGUAAAGCGUGCGCAGGCGGUGAUGUAAGACAGAUGUGAAAUCCCCGGGCUCAACCUGGGAACUGCAUUUGUGACUGCAUCGCUGGAGUGCGGCAGAGGGGGAUGGAAUUCCGCGUGUAGCAGUGAAAUGCGUAGAUAUGCGGAGGAAUACCGAUGGCGAAGGCAGGUCUCUGGGCUGACACUGACGCUCAUGCACGAAAGCGUGGGGAGCAAACAGG